CCGGGGAUGUGAAGGUCUCCCUCCUGCAUGUUCUGAUGCUCAGUGUAAUCUACCACAUUCUCCUCUCUGCACUCAUCUCUCUCUGACACGAGGAGGAAGAAAAGAGCACAUGAUUCAACACUGACCCAGUUCUUGGGGGAGGUGUGGAGAAAGCCUGAGGACAGAGACACAGAACAACAGCAAGCACGGCUGCUUUCCACCUCCGCUGAUUUCUGAAGGCAUGCAGCACUCGCUGAGUGGACAAACCGACACGCUUGGUGCCUGCCAGAAACUGCAACUGACCCCAGGCACAUGGGCCUGGAGCUACCUAGCAACCUAGGUAAAGCUCCCUAAACACCAAGAGAGGCAGACUUUAUAGCUCUACUGUGUAUUGGAUUCCUACAUGCAAGAGAUUCUGCAGCAAAGACAGCAGAUGAAAACCCUAGCCUGCCUGAAGCUUACAUUAUGGUUAAGUAGGGAACUGGUUACAGGUGAUGGAAAUUCUGGGAAGCCACCCUGGAAAAGGGAAGCAAUCAAACAUUAACAAAAACAGGAAGCAGCUAACAGCCUUGGGCUAGACGGACAGCAGAGGAGGCAGCAGGAGGUGACAGUGCCAGAAAUUAGAAUCUGGAGCCAACUAGAACUACAACCAGAGUGAGGCUGUCUGGAGUGACAUGGGACCGUGAAAGGAGGGGAGCUGGGGCCAUGAAGAAGAUGCUGUCAGAGAUCCCCAGGUAGGGAGAAGGGUGGACAGAAAUACCCUGGCUUCUCCCUCCUCCCGCUCACCAGUCUCCAGUCAGACCCUUCCUGCCUGGAAGCCCAAGGACAAGGCACUGAGAGAAGCAGUUCCCUGCACACAGCACUGAGGGGGCGGGGGGGGACAAGGAAAGAGUCAGGAGCAAACCCAGAGGCACGAGAAGUGGCAUCUGUUCUGAGCCAAAGCCCCCAGAAUGACUGGAACUCAGGAUGUAUAAGGUGAGGUGGAUUCAGAAAAUUGUGAGUUUAGAGAAGUAAGGUAGACUGAGGCCAGAUCCCAUCAGCACAUUCUCUGCCAGGACCUACAUUAGAGCAAAAUAAUGCCAGAUUUACGCAAUGCUGGGCUUCCAAGGACUUUCUUCAGACAAUUCAGCAUAAACACCUCUGAACAUCUUUGGAGAAAAUCCAAAAAUCUGGCCUUCCAGAAACAUUUGCUGCUAGACUUCUUACCCCUAACGCGAUGAAGAGUGAAAUGAGAACAGUCAAGAUCCUCAUGGCUCUCCAGAGACUGUCCUCAGCCCGUGGCUAUGGGCACCGAGCUACCUGCCAGGUGCUGUGCUAGGUGCUGGACCGUAUGCUGACUAUGACACAGUCCCUACCCGCAGGAGCUCACGGUCUGGUCACGAAUAACCAGCCGUUUAAAUGAAAUGUAAUAAAGACAGUGACAGAGCCAUGGAGACCCAGCUCUGGGAACACAAGGAAAGAAACCCAGGAGGGCAGAGCUGAGCCUUAGAGCACAGGAGGCCUGAACCGCCUCUGCAAGGAUAAGCGGGAAUUGGUCAGAUAAGGAAGUGUGAAGGCAAGCAGGGAUCGCAUCCUUGGGGAAAACGUGUAGCAGGAGCCAAGUCCUGGAGGAGUGAAGGAGAACGGGGUACCCAGGGAAGGGCAGGAAGGUUGGUGCUGCAGCCACAAGGAGACAGAGAAGCGAAGAGGCUGGGAGAGGUAGGCACAGCCAACCUGGGGCUGUGCACUGAAGCUUGCCUUUUAUUCUGCAGGAUUGGGGCUCAAGAAAGGUCCAACCCCUCAAAUCUCCUCUACAAAAUAAGCUGUCACCACCAAACCGUGAGACAAUCCAUGAGCAAAGGCCCUGGAAGCCCCAUCCUCUCACAUUAAAAAUCAAGAAAUUCUAGCCUUGGGAGAAAAAUGUGGCCCAAGGUCACAAGCUAGGACGGAGCUAGGACUGGAGCCCCAAGCCCGCUCCCAGCACAGGCUCCUCCACUGCAUUUGGCUGCCUGCUCCAUUGUCAGCAAAUCCCUGAGUGGGUACGCCUGAAAACUGCCCUACCAAGAACAUUCUACUAAUCUCACGUCUCAGUAGCACAUGUUUCAGACGUUUCCACUGAAGCCUCAUAAAGAAAGUUUUUUCUUCGCUCUUACUAUUCUGAGAUUGGUUCCAGAGCCCAGAUCUACUCUAGGCCAACGAGUAUUCGUAUUGCUAUUAACUGGGAAUGCAAUGCAGCUGCAGUGUAACGAAGAUGAGCUCAAAGAGCAUCCCGGAGACAUCUCAGCAAGGAAAGAGGUGAGCAAGCACAGGGCAAACCUCCCUCUGGUUGAUGCAUUCAUCAGAGGAGUAUCUGGAAAAAUGCAGAGGAAGACCUUUAAGUAUUCGCAUAUCAAGGACCUAUCGCUACGUAUGAAUCCACUCACUCCACAAAUAACUAAGUGAUCGUCUAUUAUGUGCCAGGCAGUGAGCUAUGUUCCGUCAGAAGAUGGGACAGAGGGAAAACCAGGAUAAAUCACACUUGGUCCAUAGAUAUGAAGAGAAAUUCACGGAGACAUAACCCAUCUUGGAAAAAACUAAACAGGCUACAGUGACUGGCAUCGAACCUGCACAAAUGAGUUUAUUUGGAGUACAAGAGGUGCAAAAGGUGCAGGCACAGAGAAAACAGGUGAACAGUGAUGGGGAGGCUAUGGAAUCACACCUGGAGGAGCCAGAGACCCGAGCCCUCCCGGACAGGUGCUCUCGGAAGAGAAGGGGCCUUGGGAGGAUUAUGCUCUUAGAAAGCAAAUUGGCUUCAGCCUGACGAGAAUCACUGCCUGCCGGCCCAACUCACGACAGCGACCGAGCUAAGGGGCUGUGCUCGCCUUACAGCCAAACCUCUCCACGCGAAGAAACACCAACUGCAUGCGGGAAAUGAGAAACCAGAUCCAAAAGGGAAGAACGGUGGCAUCAGUCAGUAGAUCAGGAUAACAGAGGGAACCUGUUCACAAUCAGUAAAGCUCAGGAACCAGGAGUACACACAGAUCCAUUCUGAAGUUGAGCGCUGAGAAAAUUCAGAAUGCGGAGAAUGUACUUCUCGUGGCUGAUUCCGUCCAGGCUUAACUUUUUAAAAAUGUUUUCCUUAUGUAUGAAUUUUAUAUGCAAGGCCACAUUUAAACUGUGAAAAAAAGCAUGUACAUCUGAAAGGGUUCUCAAUGUCAGUUACUUUGCAUCCAUUUGGGGGAACCAGGAGUUAGGUUCAUCACUUCAUAAGAAUAUGAUGUUUAACCUUCCACUUCUAGUAGGAUCCACAUAUUUGCAUGAAAACGGAUUGCAAAGUAUUUGAGGCUGAUGUGACUUGCAAAUUGAUAUUUUUCAUGUAAUGCCUUUUGAUAAACUUACAGUCAUGGAAUGGAUAUAUUUAAUUAGAGUAUUCUGUCAACGUGCAAAGAGAGCCAUACUGUUUCUACACAUACUAUUGGCUUAUUAUGGCUUAAUUUCCUUUUGUGGGUGGUUUUUUUGGCCACUCAGCAAGACAUUCUGAAGUAUGCCUGGUCUCAUGGUCUCCACUGCUUGGUCUCCAAGGCACGCUGAAGCUCAAGGCACCAUCUGAUGUGCACACAAAGACUUGGAGUAGUUCUCAGAAUGAGAAGAGAUUGAGAAAAGUAGUUCCGGUGGAUACCACAUACUAGUGGCUGAGGAUCAGGCUACAAAAUGAGCCUGUGCUGCAGAACAGCACACAGGAGCCACUCUGGUAUUUCAGCCACAGGAGCUGGAUUCUCUAAGGUUAGGUGGCGCACAGACAGUCACUUCAGUCAGCAAACCAGGUUCUAGCCCAGCUUUGUUUUGUAUAUCAUGUGACUUCUCAAAACCAUAGCAAGACUGGAGUUAGACCUGGGGAGGAAGGUGCCUGUGGUGACCACUUGGCUCGUUUCUGAGUGGUGGACACAAUGUUGGAAUGUGUCUGCAUUUAUUUACUCCUUCCCCAGUAGACCUCACCCAGUAGAACUUCAUAAUGACCAAUAUUCUUUCAAUCCUUUCCCUAUUUUUUAAAAUUACACAUGUCUGUAUAUGGAAGAUUGAGUCUUUUGGAGAAUCACCUCCCCAAGAAGACAUUUUCAGCAAAGGUCUGAUGAGAUAGAAAGUAGCAACAACCACAUAUACAAAAAUGGAAGGCAAUUCUGCAUGAAGUAUAGCAUGUCCUAUGUCCAUGUCCGAUAGCUGGUCUGCUUUAUUUAGGAAUAUAUGAGGCCCCAGGAGGAGAAUGGAUGAAAAUCCAACCAACAUUCCCAGACUCAGUGAGAUACCCCUGAUACUAUAAAAGAAUGCCUGGCAUGCCUGGCCUCAGGAGGUUAUUCCUAAGACCUCCAGCUUCACCUCCCAUCACCCCCCACCCCCCGAAUGCAGUCCUGGAUCCUUUCUCUUGGCUCCCUUGGCUAGCAGGUAUGCUCCCUGUUUUCUCUGCAGAUUCCCACAUCAACCUUCCAUCUGGAUACAUUAUCAAGUCUCUCAGUCUCCUGCCUCAGCUGCCCUCCUGGCUUCAUGUUCAUCUCUCUUUGAUUCUUGAAUAAACGUGAACACCCUUCAGGGUACCAGCUCCUCAGACUUCUCCUUCCUAUACCAGGGAAAUCCCUAGUCAUUUUAAGGUGGGUACAAAAGUGUUAUAGAAUCAGAGUCUCUGAAUUGGGAGGACCCAUAGGGAUCACUUUGCCCAAACUUUCACAUAACAAUGAUAUGUUGCCACAAGUUGUUAGAUGAGAAGAUGGAUUAAAGUAAUAAAAACAACAGUUUAAAGGUUUGCACCUUGUGGUAAAGAUCUCCAACAUGGAUAUAGUAGGCAGCCUCUAAGAUGGCUCCCAGGGAUCCUUGCCUCCUGGUGUAGCUCCCUCCACACUGUCCUGAAGUUUGUCUGUGUGCCCGACACAGCGCUGUAGGUCUCUUUCGAGAUUUGGUUAUAGAAAAAAGACUGUGAGUUCUUUUUGGAUCCUCUCUCUCUCUCUUUCCUCACUCACUCUGAGGGAAGCCAGCUAACAUGUUGGGAGGACACUCCUAGAAGCCUGCAGAGUGGCCUCCUUGGUAAGAAACAGAAGUCUCCACCCAACAGCCAGCAAGAAACGGAGGCCUGAAGCAAGCACAGGAUUGAACCCAGAAGCUCGGUCCAGCCUUCAGUGGAGACUGCAGCCCCAGCCGACAGCUUGACCACAACCUGAUGAGAAACUUAAGCCAGAACCAUCUACCUUAGGUGCUCCCAGAUUCCUGACCCACCGGACCGGGAGAUAACAAAUGCUUGUUGUUUUAAACUGCUAGGCUUCAAACAGUAAUUAUUUCUUCAACAUCAUAAAGGCCGUAUAUGACAAGCCCACAGCUAACAUUGUCCUCAGUGGCUGCAAGCUUUUCCUCUAAGUUCAGGAAAAAGACAAGGUUGUCCGCUCUCACCACUCUGAUUCAACAUAGUCCUGGAAGCCCUGGCCAGGGCAAUCAGGCAAGAAAAAGAAAGAAAAAGCAUCAGGCUUGGAACGGAAGAAGUAAAAUUGUCUCUAUUUGCAGAUGACAUGAUUUUAUGUAUAGAAAAUCCUAAAGACUCCACCAAAACACUGUUCGAUAUAAUCAAUAAAUUCAGUAAAGUUGCAGGUUACAAAAUCAAUGUACAAAAAUCAGUAGCAUUUCUGUACACUAACAAUGAAUUACCUGAAAAAGAAAUAAAGAAAACAACACCAUUUGCAAUAGUGUCAAAAACAAAUACUUAGAAAUAAAUUUAACCAAGAAGGUGAAAGAUAUCUACACUGAAAACUAUAAGGCAUUGAUGAAAGAAAUUGAAGACACAAAUAAAUGGAAAGAUAUCCCUUGUGUAGGGAUUAGAAGAAUUAACAUUGUUAAAACAUCCAUACUGUCCAAAGCUGUCUAUAGAUUUAAUGCAAUCCCUAUGAAGAUUCCAAGUUUUACAGAAAUACAAGAAACAAUCCUAAAAUUUGUGUGGAACCACAAAAGACCCGGAAUAGCCAAAGCAAUCCUGAGAAAGAAAAACAAAGCUGGAGGCAUCAAACUCCCUGAUUUCAAACUAUAUUACAAAGAAGUAGUAAUCAAAACAGUAUGAUACUGGCAUAAAAAGAAACACAUAGACUAAUGGAACAGAAUUGAGAGAGCAGAAAUAAACCCAUGCACAUAUGAUCAAUUAAUAUUGGACAAGAGUCAAGAAUAGGCAAGAGAGAAAAGACAGUUUCUUCAAUAACUGGUACUGGGAACACUACAUAUUCACAUGCAAAGGAAUGAAACUAAAUCCCUAUCUUACACCUCUCAAAAAUUAACUCAAAAUGGAUUAAAGACUUAAAUGUUAAACCUGAAACCAUAAAAUUCCUAGAAGAAAACAUAGGGAAAAGUCUUAUCACCGUGGGUCUUAGCAAUGAUUUUUUGGGUAUGACACCAAAAGCACAAGCAACAAAAGCAAAAGUGGGACUACACCAAACUAAAAAGCUUCUGCAUAGCAAAUGAGACCAUCAACAAACUGAACACGACCUAUGGAAUGGGAGAAAAUAUUUUCUCUUCUUUUUUUUUUUUUUUUUAAAGAUUGGCACCUGAGCUAACAACUAUUGCCAAUCUUUUUUUUUUUUUUCUGCUUUAUCUCCCCAAAUGCACCCCCACCCCGUACAUAGUUGUAUAUCCUAGUUGUAGGUCCUUCUAGUUGUGGGAUGUGGGACGCCACCUCAACGUGUCCUGAUGAGUAGUACCAUGUUCGCCCCGAGGAUCCGAGCCCUGGGCCGCCGCAGCGGAGCGCACAAACUUAACCACUUGGCCACGGAGCCGGCCCUGAGAAAAUAUUUUCAAACCACACAUCUGAUGAGGGGUUAAUAUCCAAAAUAUAUGAGAAACUCAUAAAACUCAAUAGCCAAAAAACAAAUAAUCUAAUUAAAAACGGACAAACGGCUGGCCCCAUGGCCAAGUGGUUAAGUUUGCACGCUCCGCAUCAGCGGCCCAGGGUUUUGCUGAUUCGGAUCCUGGGCAUGGACAUGGCAUCACUCAUCAAGCCAUGCUGAGGUGGUGACCCACAUAACACAACCAGAGACACGCACAACUAGAAUAUACAACUACGUACCAGGGGGCUUUGGGGAGAAGAAGAAGGAAAAGAAAAAGGAUUGGCAACAGAUGUUAGCCCAGGUGCCAAUCUUUAAAAGACAAAAAAAUGGACAAAGGAUCUGAAUAGAUAUUUUUCCAAAUAAGAUAUUCAACUAGCCAACAGGUAUCUGAAAAGGUGCUCAGCAUCACUCGUCAUCAGGGAAAGGUAAAUUAAAACCACAAUGAUAUCACCUCACACCUGUUAGAAUGGCUAUUAUCAAAAAGGCAAGCAAUAACAAGUGUUGGUGAGGAUGUGGAGAAAAGGGAACCCUUGUGCACUGUUGAUGGGAAUGUAAACUGGUACAGCCACUAUGGAAAACAGUGUGGAGGAUCCUCAGAAAUUUAAAAAUAGAAAUACCAUAUCAUCUGGCAAUUCCGCCUCUGGGUAUUUAUCUAAAGGAAACAAAAUCAUUAACUUGAAAGGCUGUCUGCAUCCCGUGUUCACUGCAGCAGGAUUUACAGUAGCCAAGACAUAGAGACAACCUAGGUCCAUGGAUGCAUGAAGGGAUAGGGAAAAUAUGGUAUAGAUAAAUGGAACACUAUUUUUACUGCUAUAAAAAGGAAGAAAAUCCUGCCAUUUUUGACAACAUGGAUGGACCUUGAGGACAUUAUGCUAAGUGAAAUAAAUCCGACAGAGAAAGACAAAUACUGUAUGAUCUCACUUAUAUGUGAAAUCUAAAAAGUCAAACUCACAGAAACAGAGAUCAGAUUUGUGACUGCCAGAGGGGAGGAAUGAGGAGUGGGGAAAUUGGGUGAAGGU
rnacentral:lncRNA from 1 species